rnacentral:rRNA from 1 species
UACGAGGGGGGCAAGCGUUGUUCGGAAUUAUUGGGCGUAAAGGGCGCGUAGGCGGUUUGACAAGUCUUAUGUGAAAUCUCUGGGCUCAACCCAGAGUCUGCAUGGGAAACUGUCGGGCUUGAGUAUGGGAGAGGUGAGUGGAACUGCGAGUGUAGAGGUGAAAUUCGUAGAUAUUCGCAAGAACACCAGUGGCGAAGGCGGCUCACUGGCCCGAUACUGACGCUGAGGCACGAAAGCGUGGGGAGCAAACAGG